AUGGUUGAGCUGUUGUUCGGCCCUGCCGAGGCCGGCCUCGUCCACCUGCCGGAGGUACUCGACUGCCUCGCAACCAGGGACGCCGACCACCGAGACCACGCCCACCACCAUGCCGCACACAGGCUAGGGCACGGUCAAUAUCACCAUUGCAGUGGCGGUCGUGGCGCACUCAUGGAUAUCGUGGAGACUCCCGGCAACUAUGCCUUCCUUCUAGACGUCCCCGGGAUUUCCAAGUACGACAUCAAGCUGUGACUGAUGGGCGACAACGUGCUGGUGAUGAAGAGCGCCAAUGGGAAGCGAAAGAAGCGGAAGCAGGAGGAGGAGGAGGAGGGGGACUGCCGCUACAUCUGGCUGGAGUGCUGCACGUCGCCGAGUUUGUUCAUACGCAAUUUCCGGCUGCCGUAGGACCCGGAUGCGGGUGCCAUGGCCACGCGCUGCAAGAACGACGUGCUCACCGUCACCAUGAAGAAGCAGCCGCCACCCGAGAAGAAGACCAAGUCCGUCCAGGUGGCCAUCGCCUGA
rnacentral:rRNA from 1 species